GCUCCUCCUGUUGGUCCAGGAUGCUGAAGGAAGUGCAACUAGAUGCUGGCGGCAACGGGGAUUCUGCGCUAGGUAUGUUUGUCCCCGCGGUACAACUCGUGCGGGAAGUUGUGCACCAGGCCUUGUGUGCUGCAGAAGCAUCUGGGGUUGAGACCCUGAAGAUCCCAAGCAGGACAUGGCCCUCUCUCCUGGCUCCUGCACCCAUGUCCUGCUGUCCCCUCCCCUCCCUGCCUGUGCCCUGCCCAGCUGGCUGACAGCAGCAGUGGCAGCUGCUCCUGCUGGGUGCUGCUGGGCUGGAGCCCUGUGGUGCCAGCCCCGCUGUCUUUGGGCCAGGGGCUGCUUUUCCCAGCCUGAAUAAAGAGCAAGAGC